rnacentral:rRNA from 1 species
UACGUAGGGCGCAAGCGUUAUCCGGAAUUAUUGGGCGUAAAGAGCUCGUAGGCGGUUUGUCGCGUCUGCCGUGAAAGUCCGGGGCUCAACUCCGGAUCUGCGGUGGAUACGGGCAGACUAGAGUUCGGUAGGGGAGACUGGAAUUCCUGGUGUAGCGGUGAAAUGCGCAGAGUAUCAGGAGGAACACCGGUGGCGAAGGCGGGUCUCUGGGGCCGAUACUGACGCUGAGGAGCGAAAGCGUGGGGAGCAAACAGG